UAGUGCUGCUCCCUGCUGCUGUGGACGGAAGGUGAGUGACAUACGCCAACUAAAAUGCUCGUAACUUGCUGAAUUCUUGACGGAUUUACAAACGGUUUGGUUUUUUACAAACGUUAUUAACGUGGCUAUAAUUCUGGAUGCUUUAACAUGUUUCAUGAAUUUUUUAUUUAUUUUUAGUAUACGUAUUCAGUGUCAUAGGUACAUCUUUGACGUUUAUAACAAACCAAUCCGUUUGAAAAUCGGUAAAAAAUUAAGCAAGUUAUGGUCAUUUAAAAGUACCUGCAUCAUUAAAACUCAAUGCUACGAGUGAGCGAGCGCCCUGUCCUAAGAUGGCCGCCAAAAUGCGGACGUUCCACUCAAUUGGCCAUCAGCGCGGACGAGCCAUCUAGCCUUUAUAUACAUAUCUAUGGUCAUUUCCGUUAGCUACAAUAGCAAACAGUUUGCUAGCUAGCUAUGCCUUCGUCACGUAAAUGCAUAUUACCUGGUUGUGAUAAAACCAGUUCGGUCUCCUUAUUUAAAUUUCCUAAAAACCACGACAUAAAGAAAAGGUGGAUUAAGUUUGUGAAGAGCCAUCUUGAUGGAGAGCUGACGAUCACCACCAACACCCGCCUAUGCAGUGAUCAUUUUACACUGGAUAGUUUUACAAACUUUCGUCGGAGACAAAUGGGUUUCACUGAUAAUCCACUGUUAUUGGUAAAAGGGGCCGAACCGACAAUCUAUCGCCCCGAACUUCAUCCUCCCAUCCUGCCGUCGACAUCUGGUUCUAACAUAGGCAGUGCGUGUCUGCCAGUGACUCAGUCCCUUCCAAUCAAAAGAGAGACAGAAGAGUGCCCGUGUGACAUGCAGAAAGUCACCAGAGAAGUUGGAUGUCAAACAGAUAAUUUUGUGGGGAAAAGGACUGUGGCCACGCAACUAUCUAAAACACCACUAAGUAACAGAAAGUGUACAGGUUCUGAAGUUACAGCAUCCAUGACAGGGUUUUUCCUUGCUGAAAAUGAGGUGGAGGUGGUGCUAUCCUGAUGCACACACAUACAUGUGUACCGUGGCUCAAACACACUUUAAAGGGGACAUAUUUAUUGUUUAAUAAUUCGUUGAUUUAAGAAAAUGACAAUUAGUAACUUUUUAUUUUAUAAAACAUUAAAUGAAUAAAAUACAACAUAGCAGCUUAUAUGUUAAUUUACAGUUUACAAACAGCAAAGUUCAAAAUGAAAUGUAAGCAUUUUUAUUUAACAUUAUUUAUUAAAAAUAACACUAUAAUAAUUAUUAGAUCAAGCAAAGGAUUAGGAUAUAAACAGAACUUUUUUUGCAAUAAAGGUAGUAAAAAAGAGUGGAGGAAAGUAUGACAGCAAGAGUGACCGAUGACAGUGUACAUAAGCUAUCACCAAAGACUAAUAUUUCCCUUCUUCUUUUAACUAUUUUAGUCUACUAUACCUAAAUUGAGUUAAACUAUCAGCUACUGUAUAACUUUUAUAAGUGCGCGUCUUUUUUAUUAACUAACCAUUAACUUAUAAUUAAUACGUUAAUAAUUUGCUUAUUAAAGGUGAAGAGAAGUUCUUUCACAUCCUCUGUUAUGCGUUUCACUUACUGAUCUCUGACUGACACACUGUGACGCUCUGAUCGAUUCGCUUGGUGACUGAUAAAAUGAAUUGUUUUAAAAGAAUAAUUAAUUUCAAGUCAUUAGUGGGCGCAACAUACACGAAAUAUAGCUAAUACAGCUCUUAGGAGGAAACUCUUCUUGUAAAGUUAAGUCAGCGCCUCGAUAUGCUGAUAACGAAACGGUGCCACCAGAGUACACCAGUAAGGCUGCAACUGCACUUAUAAAUGACAAUCCACAGAGUGCAAUGAUUGUUCGUGUUUUCUGUGAAGACACAUGACACAGAAACCUGUCGAGAGCCGGAGAUGGCACGAAAUUUGGCAUCCAAAACCUCUAUGCAGGAAAAACUCUGUCAUGAGAAGUGUUGCUGUGGACACAGCUCUUUCCUUCAUCUCCGGUGGCCCGUGGUUUGCCUGUCAUGAGCUCAUUCUGGUGGUAAGCCGAGUCUGAUAGGUAAGGGGGAUCACGCUUGAUGGCCUAGAAGAGAGAGGACAGACAUUAGACCUCAUUACAAAAAAGUUACAGAGAAGGAGGAAGAUUGAUGAGAAUUUCGCACAGCUCUUCAUGCAUGCAAGAAUAGGGGAGAGCGGGGACAACUGCAAGAUGGGGCAGUUGCAACACUGCUUAUUUGUCCAAUAAAACUUCUCCUCAAUUCUGGAAAAACAACAGCCAAAUGUGACCAUUCCUUCUCUGAAAAAUGUUUCUAUGUAAAAAUAAAUAAAUUUUUAUGCUCAGAAUUUUUGUCAUACUGUUAAAAGUGCUUGUGUAAAGCAUUAUAAAAUCAUAUUUUAUUUUAAUGAGUGUUCUCUCGUGUGUCAAAGCUUUUGUGUCUAGCUAGCU